UACGUAGGGGGCAAGCGUUGUCCGGAUUUAUUGGGCGUAAAGCGCGUGUAGGCGGCUUUGCAAGUCGGGUGUGAAAGCCCUCAGCUCAACUGAGGAAGUGCGCCCGAAACUGCAGAGCUUGAGUGCCGGAGAGGGUGGCGGAAUUCCCCAAGUAGAGGUGAAAUUCGUAGAUAUGGGGAGGAACACCGGUGGCGAAGGCGGCCACCUGGACGGUAACUGACGCUGAGACGCGAAAGCGUGGGUAGCAAACAGG
rnacentral:rRNA from 1 species